rnacentral:rRNA from 1 species
UACGAAGGGUGCAAGCGUUACUCGGAAUUACUGGGCGUAAAGCGUGCGUAGGUGGUUCGUUAAGUCUGAUGUGAAAGCCCUGGGCUCAACCUGGGAAUGGCAUUGGAUACUGGCGACCUAGAGUGCGGUAGAGGGGUGUGGAAUUCCCGGUGUAGCAGUGAAAUGCGUAGAUAUCGGGAGGAACAUCUGUGGCGAAGGCGACACCCUGGACCAGCACUGACACUGAGGCACGAAAGCGUGGGGAGCAACAGG